GACGAACGCUGGCGGCGUGCCUAACACAUGCAAGUCGAACGGAAAGGCCCUGCUUUUGUGGGGUGCUCGAGUGGCGAACGGGUGAGUAACACGUGAGUAACCUGCCCUUGACUUUGGGAUAACUUCAGGAAACUGGGGCUAAUACCGGAUAGGAGCUCCUGCUGCAUGGUGGGGGUUGGAAAGUUUCGGCGGUUGGGGAUGGACUCGCGGCUUAUCAGCUUGUUGGUGGGGUAGUGACUUACCAAGGCUUUGACGGGUAGCCGGCCUGAGAGGGUGACCGGCCACAUUGGGACUGAGAUACGGCCCAGACUCCUACGGGAGGCAGCAGUGGGGAAUAUUGCACAAUGGGCGGAAGCCUGAUGCAGCAACGCCGCGUGCGGGAUGACGGCCUUCGGGUUGUAAACCGCUUUCGCCUGUGACGAAGCGUGAGUGACGGUAAUGGGUAAAGAAGCACCGGCUAACUACGUG
rnacentral:rRNA from 1 species